rnacentral:lncRNA from 1 species
UGAUUUCCUAUUUGUUCUUUUUUUUUUCUUUCUGUUUUUGAAUUUGUUUGUGAACAAAUUCAAGAUCAGAUAACCCAAAGCCAAGAGCACUAACAAUAGUAGGGGAGAGGAAGCAGAUCAAGAGCAAUAUGACUACCUUUGCUUUGUCCUUGUGAAUAUGCUUUAUCAGGAUAAGGUAAUGACGAGUGCAGUAGCAGAACACGAGUUCGAGGGUAGUAGCAGAACUGGAUGAGCAUGACUGCAGUAGCAUGAUUGGAUGAGUGCAAUAGCAAGAUGAGGCGAUGACGAGUGUAGUAGCAGAACUGGACGAGUAUGAGUGCAACGAGUGCAAUAGCAGGAUUGGAGGAGUGCAGUUAGGCGAUGACGAGUGCAGUAGCAGAACUGGACGAGCAUGAGUGCAGUAGCAGAAUUGGACGAGUAUGAGUGCAGCGACAGCAGUAGCAGAAUUGGACGAGUGCAGUAGCAGGAUUAGGUGAUGAUGAGUG